AUUGAACGCUGGCGGCAUGCCUUACACAUGCAAGUCGAACGGUAACGGGCCUUCGGGCGCCGACGAGUGGCGAACGGGUGAGUAAUGCAUCGGAACGUACCUUUCAGUGGGGGAUAACGUAGCGAAAGUUACGCUAAUACCGCAUAUUCUGUGAGCAGGAAAGCAGGGGAUCGCAAGACCUUGCGCUGAUUGAGCGGCCGAUGUCAGAUUAGCUAGUUGGUGAGGUAAAGGCUCACCAAGGCGACGAUCUGUAGCGGGUCUGAGAGGAUGAUCCGCCACACUGGAACUGAGACCCGGUCCAGACGCCUACGGGAGGCAGCAGUGGGGAAUUUUGGACAAUGGGGGCAACCCUGAUCCAGCCAUGCCGCGUGAGUGAAGAAGGCCUUCGGGUUGUAAAGCUCUUUCGGCCGGGAAGAAAUCGUAUGGGCUAAUACCCUGUGCGGAUGACGGUACCGGCAUAAGAAGCACCGGCUAACUACGUGCCAGCAGCCGCGGUAACAC
rnacentral:rRNA from 1 species